UAAAACAAGCCUUGUUACCAGACGCCGACCUGAAGUUGGCAAGUUUUCAGUGGCACCUGGCACAGUGAGAUGGGCAAGGGUGGCGGUUCUGCCAAGGUCUAGCCCCUGCCUGUGAGUUAUUGCUGGCCGGGAAGGCUGCUGGUGUCACACGUGUAGUGACAAGAGCUUGACCAGCAGCUCUUGGUUUUGGGACUGGUCUGUUUUUUUCCAAGGUGUCCUAUUGCUUUGGACUCUUUUUUGCUCAUCAGUAAGGGAAUAAUUUAGGUUGCUCAUCGUGUUUCAGCCUUUCUGAGGAGAUGAACUGGGCUUAGGAAUGCCUGUUGUAAGUAGAAGAUUAAAUGAAACAGGUGGAUAAGCAAAUGGAAACUAGAGCACAGCAGAGAAACCAUCUUUGUCAGCUUGUUUCUCCAGGAUGACACAGAAUACAUGUGGGAAGAGAUCAUCUUUGUAGGUCUCAGAUAAGUUGGUGACAAGUCCUGAAAGGAAAGGCAACAAAUUGGGAGGUCACCGGUUUUCUUGAGGAAAGAAUAGAGACUCUUUUGGACAAUUAAGACUUGCACUUCUGAGCCCACAUCUCUCUGAGCAUGUGUGAACCUCGAGGUCAGCUACGGAACACAGUGAUGAACAGCAAUCCAGUAUUUUCGGUAGCACGACUGGGAUCAGAAAUGCUUCAUGGAAAUGCGUGUUGAGGAAGGAGUUUGCAGUGAGAGAAGUGGCAAAGCCCGGGAGAACAGUGUGGUAAAAAAGGAUUUUACCAACCCUUUACUGUGUUCAUGGGGCCCCUAGGCUGAACGAUGCACUCACAGCUCUUUAGUGCUGUCUUUACCACCGAAAUAAACGCAAAUUUGGGUUUGUUUUCUGCCGUUGUAGUUACCACGAAAGGGUGGGGGGGGAAGAGGGACUGGAGCUGGGUACAAAAUGGCCUGCCACGGCGCCGCAGCGGUGAGGGGGCCCUGUGGCAAGGUCCAGCCCUGAGGGGUAUUCUUGGGUCGCAGGUAGCAUUCCCAGCGUGCACAACGCUGGCACUGCAAUUCACCCAGCUCUUAAUGUUUUAAAACGUCUUGCUGCCUUUGAGUUGUGUGUGAGGAGUGCGGCUUGAGAGGGAUGCCAUCUGUGGUGGUGCCAGAGGUAAACCUCAGUCCAACAACUGUGCGACUGGUGAGGCUUUUCUAUAGGGUGCGUUUCGGCUCGCAGGGAGGUAAAUGUGAAGCUUGUCCGUGCUCAGGCCCAUGUCUGCACCACGGGUUUCGAGGCUGGCUUCUGGGAGCAAACCGCGUUUAGUGUCCCGAGGCAUCUCACACCGGGAACAACAGCAGGGGUAAUUCACAGUAUUAAGUAGGAUAUUGAUGUGUACAUGAGGCCAUCUUGGCUUAGGUGGCUAUAAACUGAUCCACAAUUGGAAAUCCAGAGAAACGGAGCUUGCACCAUUAAAUGUGUGACCUUUGUUUGGGAUAUUUGAUGCCUUUAGAUAUGCAAAAGCUGAGGCUGUUGCCAAGUCAUAUUGGAACCACACAGAAGAACUCACCCUAAGGCCUGCAAUGGCAGGUGGGUGCUGAAAGGUGCUGCUCUAAGUCAAAUCUGUCUCUGCUUCCCUAUUGUGUACCUGCACUACUGAUCCCUUCUCCUGCCUUCCCAAUGGGCCCUCAGCAUGGGCUAUGCUUGUGAAGAGGUGACUUACCAUGUUUUCAAUCAGAUCUAGUUGAGACAAAGCUAUAUGCGUGUCACAUACAAUUAAAAUUGCAGAAGUUCCUAACAGAAGUGUGCUCUACAUCUAUGAUGUGUAGUAAUGUAGAAGCUCCAGGAGGAAUAAUAAUGUGUCACUACAGACAAAGUGAUACACCUGUUCAAAGAUAAAAUUGGAGAAACCAUGUCCAAAAAUCUGAUGGAAUGGGACUUGUGGGGCUGUGGAGAAACAAAGACUGAUCCAAUUUUAUUGUAAAGUAAACAGAUUUGCAGGAUUUUCUCCAGUUGUGCUGAAGGGUGACAACCUUGAUGGCAGGAGCUAAAUAGCUCUAAUUUGGUCUUUGAAAGUUGCUUAUUGCUACCUCCGCUGAAUAGCAAACAGAAGCAGGGCAGCAGGCUAGCAAGGAUGUCAGUGAUGUAAUACUGCUCUGUAAAGCAAAGUGGUGUGUCAAGGAUGUGACUUUGGUUUGUACAUGCAGGAGGUCCUUGCUUUGUUUGUUGUUAUGUAAGUGCAGCCAUGAAAAAGCUUGUAUUAUCAAGGCCAGUCUUCAUCCAAGCUCAGGUCUACUUUGAAGUCCUGGAGUGAAAUCUUGCUCCAUGGCCACCAAUGGGAAUGAUGCUAUCAAUUUUUGGUAAGUCAAGGGCGCAGCUCCUGGUGUGAAACUAGCAGACUUUGCACUUUGUCACCUUCUUUAUGUUGCUGAAGGCUGUGGAAGGUCAAACAGGGGUAAAAUCAGGGUUCAGGACUAUGAGCAAGCUGCUGCCUAGUAUCCUCAUGACCUUUCAUGCUGCAACAAUGUCAGAUGAAACAAUUUGCAGAAGCGCAGAUUUCAACAUGUGAAUAAGUAUUGUAAUUCUUUUGUGGAGCAUGGCUAUAUAAUGGUUCUUCAGGUCUGUGUCAAGAUGUAUAAAGAAAAGCUGUGACCCUUUGUUCUUAGCAAUUAGCGUUGUGUCAGAUUUCAGUUCUUACUGUAUUAGGAAGAAAUAGUUGCUUUUGCGGUGGAUGUAUAACGUUAACGAACACUGAUGUAACACUAGAUGUCAGUAGUGCUUCGCCAGUUUCAGACUUACAGCCUUUAUUUGCUGCUGUUUUUUUGGGCGCAUAAAUGCCCUCUCCUUAUUCCAUCUUUUCCAGAAUAAACAAGUGAAAAUAUGCUGUCCUUCAAAA